rnacentral:lncRNA from 1 species
CGCAUUGAAGCUGUUGCUGGUGAAGCUUUUAUUGAGUAUGUCAUUGCCCGAGAUAACCACAUGAAGCAGCUGUGCUCCACUCUCAAAGUAUGCUUUUUGUGGAUGCUCUCCCUUGAUAUGAAACUUUUUUUUGAACCUCUUUUUCUACAUGGCCAAAUUCACAAUAUUCUCCCGAUCUUCUUAUUAUAUUUUCAAUUUAAAUUGUCCUUAUCAGCAUACUGCCUCUAGUUAUGAUGUCUAUCCACAUGUACUAUUCUAGUUCACAUUACUUUUCUAAAGAUGCUAAACUUGACCUUCUAGUCACAUAUAUUCAUAACCAUCACGUUGUUGUGCUUCCAUAUGUGAUUGUUUACUUUGUUUUGGAGCUCACCAGGAAACAAAGACAUACCCUUCUCACCAAGUAUCAAAAGAAAGCUAACCAUGUAUGUUCAAUCUGAAAGAUCACGGCAUAACCAAAGAUGUACAACAAGUUUUUGCAUAAGACUGGUUCUCUUGCAUCAGUUGUUCUAAUUUUCUGAAGUGUUAUGUACUUAAAAAAAAAAUAAUAAUAAUAAUAAUUUGAAGGUAAACGCUGAAGAUGUUACAACAAGAGUAAACAGUAUUUUGAAAGAUCUGCGAGAGGCAAGAAAUGAAGUUUCAGCUGCACGCGCAAAAGCAGCCAUUUACAAAGCAUCAACCAUCGUUAGCAAUGCAGUUACUGUAGGAUCUUCAACAAAGAUCAGGUAAAUAUGUUCUUCCAUGAUAAUAUAUCAAUUCAUUCUUUAGAUGGAUUUCUUGAUUUAAAGUAUGACCCCAACUUAUUUCAAUUUUCACACUGACAAUAAGUUUCUUAAGCGAUUACUUGAAUUUUUAUGUAUAUUUGCAUAAGACGAUCACCUCACAAGUCACAACACUUUUGGUUAGAAUAAGUGUCUUCCCAUAUCAUUUAUGCCUAAAAGACAUUCAUACAAACAUAAAUUCUGGGCAGUUUCACUAGUUUAUCAUAGCAUCCAACCUCUUUCCGAAGUUAUGGCUCACCUCACCCCUUCCAUCUCAGUACAGUCCUCAUCUCAAGUCAGUCCAACAUCGUUACUAAAGAGAGAAGCAUAACAAGCCUGGUCCAUCACUUCUGACAACUAUUUUUGUCCAGGGUGCUAGUUGAGAGCAUGGAUGAUAUUGAUGCUGAUGCAUUAAAGAGUGCUGCAGAGUAUAUAGUGGAUACACUGCAAGAUCCAGCAGCGGUGAUUUUGGGCUCAUGCCCAGGUGAAAAAAAAGUAAGUAUAUAUAUAUAUAUAUAUAUAUAUAUCAUAAUUUGCAACAUCAGUAUGAAACACUGCUCGUGCUCGACAUAGAUGCGGUUGGUAGUUCAAUGGCCUAAAAGCAUAGAUGUUACAUUUGUACUCCUAGUUAGGUAAAUAUCUCAUUACACAAUGUCCUUUUAAGAUAAAAGUGGUACCUAUGAUCUCUUCAAACUUUAUAUGUUUUCUUUUCUUUUUUUUCAUGGGGCAUGAAUUAGGAGUUGUAAAUGACAAUUCUCAUUUGGGAAUUCGAAUUGAUGAUCUACUGUAAUAGGAAAUGUCCAAAUCUGCCUACCAUUUUCCUUUUCGGUUUUUCAAAAUUUCUUCGGAAAAAAUGUAAGAAAGCGAGAAGGGUAACUAGUUAAGGCUACUUGAUUCAGUGUUGAUAUUUGAGACAAUGGAUGGGAAUGCUCUAUUUUCUAAAAUGGAUGGUGGUUUUUCACUUUCGCCUGCCUCUUUCUUUGAAUUUCACCUUCUAAUCUUCAAUAACAUUCUCAAUUAAAAACAAACAAAAAGAAAAGAAAAGAAAUUGUUGAUUCAAUGUUGGUCUCAGGAUUAUCAUUUCAUUCAAAAAACGAUUGCAGUAAACAAUUUUAAAGGAUUACAGAAAUGUAAAUAACACAAGAAUUUUCGCUCCUAAGGGCUCGGAUGUUCAGCCAAAAGGCCUACUCACCCGUUGAGCAUCUACAAAAGUAGAUUAGGCUCGAAUCCACUAAAAAUCACAAAGAAUCGAUACAAAAAUGUAUGAAGAAACCACAGUUCCUUCAAUUUCAGUUUUCUUUCGUCUCUAUUUUAUAAAACACUCAGUUUUCUACAAUCUCACAGAUCGUAUAUCAAAUACAACCCUAACAUCACUCAGAUUAGAGAUUAUUUUCAGAAAAAUGCAAGAACGGAAGAGUCCAGAAAACCCUCAGAGAGAAGACGAAGAAAACCCCAGAACCUUUCACUCAGAUUACGACAAAAAUGAAGAGUCAAGAGACUUUAACACUCCACCAAAAUAUCAACAAUUCAACGAUUACAAAAGUGCCAAGUGUAAAGUCCACAACAGUCAUCCUUUAUUAAGGAAAGACGUGUUUCCAAAAAACGUUUUUCAUUUCCAAACCAUUUCAACCCGUUGGAUUAACCAACCCAGCAGGGCCCAAUACCACUAAAUUGGGCCGGCCAAGAAUAGAGAGUCAGCCCGCCAACAUUCAAUGUUAAGAUGCAAUGAUAUACCGAAAUAUCUGAGAAAGACUUGUUUGUUUGGAUUUAUUAGAACUGUUGGUGCCCUUACUUGACCAGCUGACCAAGGGAGACCUACUUUCGGUAGAAACCUGAUUAUGGGGAGUCCCAAUUGGAAAGAAAAGUGGGUCACAGCGGACGUUGGUCUUGAAGAUGGGUGAAAUGUAAUGAUCUAAUUGUAUUUCAAAUCGCCUGUAAAAUAUGGUAAAUUUAUAAGCACUUUGGACAUCAUUUUCUUGUAAACCACUUUUAGAAAUGAGUUAUACUUAAAAAUGAUUGUUACAAAAAUAAAAAUUCUAAAUUAUUCCAAACUUAUCUUUUUAUAUUGUUUACUUUGUUUUGGAGCUCACCAGGAAACAAAGACAUACCCUUCUCACCAAGUAUCAAAAGAAAGCUAACCAUGUAUGUUCAAUCUGAAAGAUCACGGCAUAACCAAAGAUGUACAACAAGUUUUUGCAUAAAACUGGUUCUCUUGCAUCAGUUGUUCUAAUUUUCUGAAGUGUUAUGUACUUAAAAAAAAAAUAAUAAUAAUAAUAAUUUGAAGGUAAACGCUGAAGAUGUUACAACAAGAGUAAACAGUAUUUUGAAAGAUCUGCGAGAGGCAAGAAAUGAAGUUUCAGCUGCACGCGCAAAAGCAGCCAUUUACAAAGCAUCAACCAUCGUUAGCAAUGCAGUUACUGUAGGAUCUUCAACAAAGAUCAGGUAAAUAUGUUCUUCCAUGAUAAUAUAUCAAUUCAUUCUUUAGAUGGAUUUCUUGAUUUAAAGUAUGACCCCAACUUAUUUCAAUUUUCACACUGACAAUAAGUUUCUUAAGCGAUUACUUGAAUUUUUAUGUAUAUUUGCAUAAGACGAUCACCUCACAAGUCACAACACUUUUGGUUAGAAUAAGUGUCUUCCCAUAUCAUUUAUGCCUAAAAGACAUUCAUACAAACAUAAAUUCUGGGCAGUUUCACUAGUUUAUCAUAGCAUCCAACCUCUUUCCGAAGUUAUGGCUCGCCUCACCCCUUCCAUCUCAGUACAGUCCUCAUCUCAAGUCAGUCCAACAUCGUUACUAAAGAGAGAAGCAUAACAAGCCUGGUCCAUCACUUCUGACAACUAUUUUUGUCCAGGGUGCUAGUUGAGAGCAUGGAUGAUAUUGAUGCUGAUGCAUUAAAGAGUGCUGCAGAGUAUAUAGUGGAUACACUGCAAGAUCCAGCAGCGGUGAUUUUGGGCUCAUGCCCAGGUGAAAAAAGAGUAAGUUUAGUUGCUGCUUUUACUCCAGGAGUGGUUGAUCUUGGAAUUCAAGCGGGGAAGUUUAUAGGGCCAUUAGCCAAGUUUUGUGGUGGAAGAGGGGGUGGUCGGCCUAAUUUUGCCCAGGCAGGUGGAAAUGAGCCUGAGAAAUUGUUGAUUGCACUUGAAAAAGCUCGAGAUGAACUCAUCUCCAUUCUAUCUGAAAAGACAGGCUGAAAAUUUUUAUAUAUAUAUAUAUCAUAAUUUGCAACAUCAGUAUGAAACACUGCUCGUGCUCGACAUAGAUGCGGUUGGUAGUUCAAUGGCCUAAAAGCAUAGAUGUUACAUUUGUACUCCUAGUUAGGUAAAUAUCUCAUUACACAAUGUCCUUUUAAGAUAAAAGUGGUACCUAUGAUCUCUUCAAACUUUAUAUGUUUUCUUUUCUUUUUUUUCAUGGGGGCAUGAAUUAGGAGUUGUAAAUGACAAUUCUCAUUUGGGAAUUCGAAUUGAUGAUCUACUGUAAUAGGAAAUGUCCAAAUCUGCCUACCAUUUUCCUUUUCGGUUUUUCAAAAUUUCUUCGGAAAAAAUGUAAGAAAGCGAGAAGGGUAACUGGUUAAGGCUACUUGAUUCAGUGUAUUGAUAUUUGAGACAAUGGAUGGGAAUGCUCUAUUUUCUAAAAACUUCAAUUUCAGUUUUCUUUCGUCUCUAUUUUAUAAAACACUCAGUUUUCUACAAUCUCACAGAUCGUAUAUCAAAUACAACCCUAACAUCACUCAGAUUAGAGAUUAUUUUCAGAAAAAUGCAAGAACGGAAGAGUCCAGAAAACCCUCAGAGAGAAGACGAAGAAAACCCCAGAACCUUUCACUCAGAUUACGACAAAAAUGAAGAGUCAAGAGACUUUAACACUCCACCAAAAUAUCAACAAUUCAACGAUUACAAAAGUGCCAAGUGUAAAGUCCACAACAGUCAUCCUUUAUUAAGGAAAGACGUGUUUCCAAAAAACGCUUUUCAUUUCCGAACCAUUUCAACCCAUUGGAUUAACCAACCCAGCAGGGCCCAAAACCACUAAAUUGGACCAGCCAAGAAUAGAGAGUCAGCCCACCAACAUUCAAUGUUAAGAUGCAAUGAUAUACCGAAAUAUCUGAGAAAGACUUGUUUGUUUGGAUUUAUUAGAACUGUUGGUGCCCUUACUUGACCAGCUGACCAAGGGAGACCUACUUUCGGUAGAAACCUGAUUAUGGGGAGUCCCAAUUGGAAAGAAAAGUGGGUCACAGCGGACGUUGGUCUUGAAGAUGGGUGAAAUGUAAUGAUCUAAUUGUAUUUCAAAUCGCCUGUAAAAUAUGGUAAAUUUAUAAGCACUUUGGACAUCAUUUUCUUGUAAACCACUUUUAGAAAUGAGUUAUACUUAAAAAUGAUUGUUACAAAAAUAAAAAUUCUAAAUUAUUCCAAACUUAUCUUUUUAAAAUAUAAUUUAGAAAACCAAACCAUGAUGGACAAGGGCGGAGCCACUAUACGUCCACUUUUGGGCCAAAAUGCCCGCACUGGACUUUUGGGCCAAAAAAUAAUUUUUUUUUUAUUUAAGGUUUGUUUAUUUGUUUAACCCAGUAACCCAAUUCUCGAUCCAGCCCAGAGAGAGAAGCCCAAUUGUACAAGGUAAUGACCCGUUUUAGACCCAUUCAUAUCAAAAUUCAAUUGAAUCAAUUUUUGACCCAAACCCAUUCAUUCAUUUCAAAAUUUCUACCCUUCAUGACUUUGUCUGUGACGAUUUCACACUUCGCCACCGACUUCCCUCUCCACCGGUGACAAAGCCCACCGUUCCGUUCCCUCUCCGUCAACCGUCGUCUCCGAUAGUCGUUACAAUACGACCAUCGUUCCCUUACCCUCUUCGACAAUCCAUUAUUGUAUAUCUCCUACUCUAGGCUCUCAUCUUGACAUCUCACAUCUCUGACUUCGACUUUACAUUCUCAACUCCGCCAAGGCGCCAAGUGCCAAAGCCAACCAGCCGAGCUGGCAAAAGAAGAAGCCAGAUUCCAGAAAGCAAAAGGCGAAGCCCCAAAUUUUUUUUCCCUUAUUUUUUUUUUGGUUAAUUCAAUUUGUGUAAAUUGUAAUAAUAUUUUUUUUUAACAUAUGAAAUUAGCACUUUGUUCUUUAAUUGCUCGAAGCGGUACAAACUUCCAGUGAACCACCAGUUCAUUGUUGCCUCUGGGUUCUGGCUCUCUGGGAAUCUGUGAUUGCAAGUUCAAGUUGCCUAAUAUUUGGAAAUAGUAUAUAUUGCAUUCUGAGAUUGUGAAUUGAUUAUGUGAAAUUGUGAAUUGCACUAGUUUUGUGAGUUGCUUCCAGUAUUUGUGAUUCAUUUGACAUCUCGAAUUACUCCCACUCCUAGUAGUAAUUGGGUGAUCAGUGGAUGAAUGAUAGCACAAUUGUUUAUGUGGAGAAAGAUAUAUUGAGGUUCAAUAAUGAAGUUAUUAUACAAUGAUAUCAAAGUAUAAAAACUCGCAAAGAACAAGUGUAAUAUAUAAAUUAUGUCGUUUUUAGUAUUGAUGUACUAUUGUUUUAUUUUCUUAUCGUCAUUAAAUUCCUGACCAAAACCUCGACAUUUGUCGUCGAAAAAAUUUUGCCCGCACUGAACUAAAAUCCUGGCUCCGCCCCUNNNNNNNNNNNNNNNNNNNNNNNNNNNNNNNNNNNNNNNNNNNNNNNNNNNNNNNNNNNNNNNNNNNNNNNNNNNNNNNNNNNNNNNNNNNNNNNNNNNNNNNNNNNNNNNNNNNNNNNNNNNNNNNNNNNNNNNNNNNNNNNNNNNNNNNNNNNNNNNNNNNNNNNNNNNNNNNNNNNNNNNNNNNNNNNNNNNNNNNNNNNNNNNNNNNNNNNNNNNNNNNNNNNNNNNNNNNNNNNNNNNNNNNNNNNNNNNNNNNNNNNNNNNNNNNNNNNNNNNCAACUUUAUAGGUACGUGUUGUGGAGGUUCCUGGUGUAUCUAUGGAGUUAUGUGGUGGAACUCAUGUCAAUAAUACUUCUGAAAUACGUGGCUUCAAAAUAAUUUCUGAACAAGGGAUUGCAUCUGGAAUCAGGCGCAUUGAAGCUGUUGCUGGUGAAGCUUUUAUUGAGUAUGUCAUUGCCCGAGAUAACCACAUGAAGCAGCUGUGCUCCACUCUCAAAGUAUGCUUUUUGUGGAUGCUCUCCCUUGAUAUGAAACUUUUUUUUGAACCUCUUUUUCUACAUGGCCAAAUUCACAAUAUUCUCCCGAUCUUCUUAUUAUAUUUUCAAUUUAAAUUGUCCUUAUCAGCAUACUGCCUCUAGUUAUGAUGUCUAUCCACAUGUACUAUUCUAGUUCACAUUACUUUUCUAAAGAUGCUAAACUUGACCUUCUAGUCACAUAUAUUCAUAACCAUCACGUUGUUGUGCUUCCAUAUGUUAUUGUUUACUUUGUUUUGGAGCUCACCAGGAAACAAAGACAUACCCUUCUCACCAAGUAUCAAAAGAAAGCUAACCAUGUAUGUUCAAUCUGAAAGAUCACGGCAUAACCAAAGAUGUACAACAAGUUUUUGCAUAAGACUGGUUCUCUUGCAUCAGUUGUUCUAAUUUUCUGAAGUGUUAUGUACUUAAAAAAAUAAUAAUAAUAAUAAUUUGAAG